rnacentral:rRNA from 1 species
GUGACCGAGCGACGCCGCGUGUGGGAUGAAGGCUUUCGGGUCGUAAACCACUGUCAGUAGGGAAGAAUGCCCGGAUGGUGAAUCCGGGAGGGACGGUACCUGCAGAGGAAGCCACGGCUAACUCCGUGCCAGCAGCCGCGGUAAUACGGAGGUGGCAAGCGUUGUUCGGAAUUACUGGGCGUAAAGAGCACGUAGGCGGUCUGGUAAGUCUGCUGUGAAAUCCCCCGGCUCAACCGGGGAACUGCAGUUGAUACUGCUGGGCUAGAGUGCGGGAGGGGAGAGCGGAAUUCCUGGUGGAGCGGUGAUAUGCGUAGAUAUCAGGAGGAACGCCGGAGGCGAAAGCGGCUCUCUGGUCCGCAACUGACGCUGAGGUGCGAAAGCUAGGGGAGCGAACAGGAUUAGAUACCCUGGUAGUCCUAGCCGUAAACGAU